AAAGGGGAGCAAUCCCUGAGUAGAGUGGCAAACGGGUGAGUAACACGUGGGUGACCUGCCUUCGAGUGGGGGAUAACGUUCCGAAAGGAGCGCUAAUACCGCAUGAUAUCCUGCCUUUGGACAGGCGGAGAUCAAAGCUGGGGAUCGCAAGACCUGGCGCUUGAAGAGGGGCCCGCGCCUGAUUAGCUAGUUGGUGAGGUAACGGCUCACCAAGGCGACGAUCAGUAUCCGGCCUGAGAGGGCGGACGGACACACUGGGACUGAGACACGGCCCAGACUCCUACGGGAGGCAGCAGUGGGGAAUUGUUCGCAAUGGGCGCAAGCCUGACGACGCAACGCCGCGUGGAGGACGAAGAUCUUCGGGUCGUAAACUCCUGUCGAGCGGGAAGAACGUUUCGUGGGUGAAUAACCUGCGGAAGUGACGGUACCGCUAAAGGAAGCCCCGGCUAACUCCGUGCCAGCAGCCGCGGUAAUACGGGGGGGGCAAGCGUUGUUCGGAAUUACUGGGCGUAAAGGGCUCGUAGGUGGCCAACUAAGUCAGACGUGAAAUCCCCAGGCUCAACUUGGGAACUGCGUCUGAUACUGGAUGGCUUGAAUUCGGGAGAGGGAUGCAGAAUUCCAGGUGUAGCGGUGAAAUGCGUAGAUAUCUGGAGGAAUACCGGUGGUGAAGGCGGCAUCCUGGACCGAGAUUGACACUGAUGAGCGAAAGCCAGGGGAGCAAACGGGAUUAGAUACCCCGGUAGUCCUGGCCCUAAACGAUGAAUGCUUGGUGUGACGGGUAUCGAU
rnacentral:rRNA from 1 species